AGGACGACGCUGGCGGCGUGCUUAACACAUGCAAGUCGAGCGAUGAAGCUCCUUCGGGAGUGGAUUAGCGGCGACGGGUGAGUAACACGUGGGUAACCUGCCUCAUAGAGGGGAAUAGCCUUUCGAAAGGAAGAUUAAUACCGCAUAAGAUUGUAGUACCGCAUGGUACAGCAAUUAAAGGAGUAAUCCGCUAUGAGAUGGACCCGCGUCGCAUUAGCUAGUUGGUGAGGUAAACGGCUCACCAAAGGCGACGAUGCGUAGCCGACCUGAGAGGGUGAUCGGCCACAUUGGGACUGAGACACGGCCCAGACUCCUACGGGAGGCAGCAGUGGGGAAUAUUGCACAAUGGGGGAAACCCUGAUGCAGCCAACGCCGCGUGAGUGAUGACGGUCUUACGGAUUGUAAAGCUCUGUCUUUAGGGACGAUAAUGACGGUACCUAAGGAGGAAGCCACGGCUAACUACGUGCCAGCAGCAGC
rnacentral:rRNA from 1 species